ensembl:lincRNA
CUUUUACCCAUGCAUUUUUACAAAGUUGCAAUUUUCACAUAAAAUGAGAAGGACCAAUAAAUCUUGGCCAUCCUGCCUUUUCUCCAGAGCUUCUCUAUUGCUUUCACUUCUCUCACAUAACUCAGACCCUCAUGUUCUCUCACAAGGAUUUUUUUUUUUUUUUUUUUGAGACGGAGAAUCUUGCUCUGUCAUCCAGGCUGGAGUACAGUGUAACGAUUUGCACUGCAGCCUCACUGCAACCUCCUCCUCCUGGGUUCAAGCAAUUCUCCUGCCUCAGAGUCCUAAGUAGCUGGGAUUACAGGUGCCCACCACCAAGUGCAGCUAAUUUGUUUUUGUAUUUUUAGUAGAGACGUAGUUUCACCAUAUUGGCGAGGCUGGUCUCAAACUCCUGACCUAAGGUGAUCUGCCUGCCUCAGCCUCCCAAAGCGCUGGAAUUACAGGCGUGAGCUACUGUGCAGGCCCGGUCUUGACCAGAAUCAUUUCAAUCUUCCUUUUUGGACCAUUUGCAUCCAGAUUGUCUUCUGCGAAUCCAGCUUCAAAAAUGACCACCAGAGCAAUGUUCUUAAUAUUUAUGAGGAAGUCUCUGAAGAUGAAUUCCAAAACGGAAGAGGAGGGGACUGGAUCCAAGACAUCAGAGACUAGACAGGACCAAGAGCUCUUGAAGGACGGUCUCCAGGAACACGGCAUAGAAAGUGGACUCCACAACUGGAAGAACUUGAAGACAGGAAAAAGGCACAGAAGGAAAGAUUAUAAAUAAACAGUUUUACCCUAGGUAAAACAAAACACUGGAUGAGAAAGCCGUGAACACAUAUGAAUAGAAACAAGAAGUCAAUGGGCCUUAAGGGGGAAAAAAAAGGAUUCUUAGCCAUUGAAAGAAAAAGAGAUUAGAAAAUUUUAGAGGGCUGGUAUUUGUUUCCUAUCUUCCCUAUACCCCUUCCCUCCACACUGUGAAGAAAGGCAUUCAGAAUCCCAGGAUUAAAAAGAAAGAGAGAAAGGAAGGGAGGAAAAAAGGAAAGAAGGAAGGAAAGGAAGGAAGGAAGGAAGGAAGGAAGGAAGGAAGGAGGGAAGGAAGAAAAGGAAGGAGGGAGGAAAGAAGGGAGAAUGGGCAAAAUAUAUGAUAGGUGAGGUCCAGAAUAUGCAAAUUUGUUGCAUGUUUUCAGUCAUUGGUAGAAUAUGAGAAAAGAGAAUCUGUAUGUGAGCAUUUAAAAUAUACAUUUGAGGCCGGGCGCGGUGGCUCAAGCCUGUAAUCCCAGCACUUUGGGAGGCCGAGGCGGGCGGAUCACGAGGUCAGGAGAUCGAGACCAUCCUGGCUGACACGGUGAAACCCCGUCUCUACUAAAAAAUACAAAAAACUAGCCAGGCGAGGUGGCGGGCGCCUGUAGUCCCAGCUACUGGGGAGGCUGAGGCAGGAGAAUGGCGUGAACCCGGGAGGCGGAGCCUGCAGUGAGCUGAGAUCCGGCCACUGCACUCCAGCCUGGGCGGCAGAGCGAGACUCCGUCUGAAAAAAAAAAAAAAAAAAAAAAAAUAUAUAUAUAUAUAUAUAUAUAUACAUUUGAAUUUUUAUCAAGGUGAUACAAAUCCGUACUUAACAAAAAAAUUAAGCACCACUAAUAAUCAUAUGAUGAUACACAGUGGUCUCUUGCCCCACACCCCCUAUUUUACUUUCUCAUGCCCCAGAGGAAAUCUCUAUUCUUCUAAGUUAUUUUUGACAUUUAUUUCCAUAUUUCCAAAGAACAUUUCUUAUAUUGGUGCUUGUGGAUUUAUUAAUUUUAGACAAUAUGUUUAACUUCCUUUUAUGACAAGUGAGACUUAGCUUUCUUACCUGGUACCUUCCCCAGCAGGGUACAUGCACUGCCUCUGCCACACUGUCCCAACAGUGUGUUUGGGUCCUAAAGUUAACUUAAAUCAUUGGUUUAUCUUAAUAUCAUCGCACCUAUGUAGACAUUGUCCACUCUUGGGCUAAGAGGUGUCUGUUCCAUGUUUACAUUUUCUUUUUCACUUUAAACAUUUUUCCUGAAAUUAUUGACUGUUUUUUUCAUUGCUUUGAUUUCCUUUUUAUCUGAGCUCAUUUCUUCAAUAUGAUCAAUCUGAUAGCCUAUUUUAUAUUUCUUUUGCAAACCCAUCUUGAAUGUGCAUGUCUACCUGCUCCACCCUGCGUUGUCUGCACCCAGGCCUGCUGCACAGCUGUCAUUCAGGAUAUUCUCAGGCUGGAAUAUCCUGAGUGACAGCUAUGUAUGAGGCCUGGAUCAGGCUUUAUUUCCUGGAUCCAAUGCUGUGCUGUAGACAUGUGCUGUAGAAUGUGCCGGUAGACAUGCACAUUCCUUUUAUGACAAGUGAGACUUAGCUUUCUUACCUGCUUGACUUUGCUUUCGGUCUAACAUCAUUUUCGUAGUCUAAAAUAAACAUAAAAUAAACAGCAAGUAAUAAGUCAUCAGAAAAAAAAAUAAAGUGAGAAAUGCCCGUUAAAAUGAUGUAUAACAUAACCAUAUAUAUUUAAGAAUGUAUUCCAAUAUCAAAUGGCAAAUUCCAACAAUGCAGAAAACAUAAUUACUUUUGCACCAACGUAAUAUUUUCAGUGAAAACCUAGUGAUGUCUGAGCAUUGAGUAAUUGAAGAUUGAAACCAAGAAUUUACUGUAAUUAACACAGAAUUCAUGUAAAGGAUAGUAUUAAUUUCUACUAAAACAGAUGCAGUAUAUGGAAGAACACAUAGACAGAAACACAACCGAGUGCUAAAAGAAAAGUGUCUCUGCUACUGAAACUAGCUAAGGAUUCCACCAACUUACUGUGGGGAGGGAUUGGGGUUAACCUCAGAAUUGUGCCAUGUCUUAAUUAGAGCUUUUAAAAGAUAUAGUCAUAGGAAAUUAACUGCAUAAAUCUUAACUGCACAAAUCAUUCUACAGUGAGAAUUCAUCAUUUUCAAAGAAUUUGUCUUUAUAAAAGUCAAAAUACGACUUUAUAAAGUCGUAAUCGUUAUUUUUCACUGAGUUUUUCUAAGUACUAAAUGUUGCAUUUAUGCAUUAUGUAUAUAGGCUCACAUUAAAUAUAUCUCAUGUAUAUGUGCAGAUUAUUAAAUAUAUAAAAUCACUCAGAAUUUUGAGAUUAUCCUCACUUUAUGCUUUAAGAAACUAAGCCCAACAAAGUCAACUUGCUUGUCUAAGGACACUGAGUGACUGAGGGCAGAACUGAGAUUCAGAGCAGGCCUUUUGCUUUUAGAUUCUGUGAUCAUUCCCCCAGCAGCACACGUACUCCAUUCUCCC